AAAGCAGGUCAUAGUGAUCCGGUGGUUCUGAAUGGAAGGGCCAUCGCUCAACGGAUAAAAGGUACUCCGGGGAUAACAGGCUGAUACCGCCCAAGAGUUCAUAUCGACGGCGGUGUUUGGCACCUCGAUGUCGGCUCAUCACAUCCUGGGGCUGAAGUAGGUCCCAAGGGUAUGGCUGUUCGCCAUUUAAAGUGGUACGCGAGCUGGGUUUAGAACGUCGUGAGACAGUUCGGUCCCUAUCUGCCGUGGGCGCUGGAGAACUGAGGGGGGCUGCUCCUAGUACGAGAGGACCGGAGUGGACGCAUCACUGGUGUUCGGGUUGUCAUGCCAAUGGCACUGCCCGGUAGCUAAAUGCGGAAGAGAUAAGUGCUGAAAGCAUCUAAGCACGAAACUUGCCCCGAGAUGAGUUCUCCCUGAGACUUAAAGUCUCCUGA
rnacentral:rRNA from 1 species